UCUUUGGAGAUGGGAGAGUAUGCAAGAAGGAAAAAUUCAUGAUUUAAUAUUCUUUCUUGCCUACUCCUCCCAUUCCAUCUG
rnacentral:misc_RNA from 1 species